rnacentral:rRNA from 1 species
UGGGGAAUAUUGCACAAUGGGCGCAAGCCUGAUGCAGCCAUGCCGCGUGUGUGAAGAAGGCCUUCGGGUUGUAAAGCACUUUCAGCGAGGAGGAAGGUGGUGAGCUUAAUACGCUCAUCAAUUGACGUUACUCGCAGAAGAAGCACCGGCUAGCUCCGUGCCAGCAGCCGCGGUAAUACGGAGGGUGCAAGCGUUAAUCGGAAUUACUGGGCGUAAAGCGCACGCAGGCGGUUUGUUAAGUCAGAUGUGAAAUCCCCGGGCUCAACCUGGGAACUGCAUUUGAAACUGGCAAGCUAGAGUCUCGUAGAGGGGGGUAGAAUUCCAGGUGUAGCGGUGAAAUGCGUAGAGAUCUGGAGGAAUACCGGUGGCGAAGGCGGCCCCCUGGACGAAGACUGACGCUCAGGUGCGAAAAGCGUGGGGCAGCAAACAGGAUUAGAUACCCUGGUAGUCCAGCGCUGUAAAACGAUGUCGAUUUUGGAGGUUGUGCCCUUGAGGCGUGGCUUCCGGAGCUAACGCGUUAAAGUCGACCGCCUGGGGGAGUACGGCCGCAAGGUUAAAACUCAAAGGAAUUGACGGGGUCAUAGCUGUUUCCU